CUCUCUUCAGGCAGGCUUUCCUUUAAUGACUGGUUUGACCAAAGAUAUUGCCCCUCUUGCUUCGAGGCCGUCCUUGUGCUAGUGCACUCGUGGACCCAAGGACGAGGCCGAAGUUGUUCAAGGAGAGCCUUCUCUUCCUUCGUCCUCAUGGUAGCUUGUAUUUAUGGAAUGAUGGUUCAGAGGAAGUUAUUGAGAC